GCCGCAGAGGCGUGUUUGAAAGAGGGUCUGUGAGAUAUUGAACCUUUGAAGAGUGUUCUCUGUCUGUGUCUGUCUCUGCUCUCACUGCAGAUUAUGGAGAGAUUGGUUGAUUGAUUAUCAGAGAGUAACUUUACCAACGCUACCUCUGCUAGCUUCUCUCUGGGGUGAGGAGACAGAGAACACAGGGAGAGGAGAGGACAGGGGAGAAAGAGAAGAGUGGAGUGAAAAAGCAGGGAAGAGUAUCAAAAGAAGAAGUGAGGACUGACUGAGGAGAGUGGGAGGACCAGGCCUCUGAGUGGUCUGAUACAGGAAGAGUGGUAGAGAGGGAGGGUGUUGACCCCCUGUUGCCCCGCUGUUGGGAUAGUUACAAUGGCAUCGCCUCCAUUGAUGUACCACGGGGCAAUCAGUAAACUGGACUGUGAGGAUCUGCUGGGGAAGAAGGGGAAGGAUGGAGCCUACCUCAUCAGAGACAGCGAAACAAUCCAAGGAGUCAUGUGUUUGUGUGUCUAGACAUUGACCCAACACACCUCCAGGCUGUGUAAGGGCUAUUUGACCAAGAAAGAGAGCGAUGGAGUGCUGCAUCAGAUGACCUGGCCUCCACAAUCAAUCACCCGAUCUCAAACCAAUUGAGAUGGUUUGGGAUGAGUUGGACCACAGAGUGAAGGAAAAGCAGCCAACAAGUGCUCAGCAUAUUUGGGAACUCCUUCAAGACUGUUGGAAAAGCAUUCCAGAUGAAGCUGGUUGUUAGAAUGCCAAGAGUGUGCAAAGCUGUCAUCAAGGCAAAGGGUGGCUAUUUUGAAGAAUCUCAAAUAUAAAAUAUAUUUUGAUUUGUUUAGCACUUUUUUGGUUACUAUAUGAUUCCAUAUGUGUUAUUUCAUAGUUUAUGUCUUCACCAUUAUUCUGCAAUGUAGAAAAUAGUAAAAAUAAAGAAAAACCCUUGAAUGAGGAGGUUUUCAAACAUUUGACUGCUGCUGUAUUUGUGUGUUGUGUUUCUGCAGUAAAAAGAAGGUGGUGUAUACCUACAGAAUCCUCCAGACCCACACUGGAAGCUACACCCUGCAGACAGCGUCUGGUGUAGAGGAGAAAUUCUUUAAGACGUUAGAGGAGCUGGUCCGCCAUUAUAAGCGUCGGGGGCAGGGAUUGGCUCAGCAUCUGCGCCACUCAGUCAAGCGGAAGACACUGCUACAACUUCCCGCCCCCAAUGUCAUCGACGAGGUGCCUGAUUAUGAAAAUGUGGAUGCAUCAGACUACGUUGUUGUUCUGCCCUCCUGAUUCAGCAGCACACCCCUGACCUACAUCAUCUAUGAGCCUGUAAAUAUCUAGGUGUGGUGCCUGCAGGCAGGUUUUUUUUUUUUUUUAAUCCUGAUGCCAGGGGCGGAUUGGUUAUCUGCCAUUUGCUCGAAAUGCCAAAUGAGCUGGUCAAAUGUUAGCCCAUAGGGCCAGUCUAAUUCUUUUUUUUUAAAGCUAAAUUAUCAUUAUCUGGCUAAUACUGUAAUUGGGGCCUCUAAGGAAAAAAAUGUGCUGGUGUGUUAGAAAUGCCAGGGCUGAUUUUUGGUCUCAGUCCGCCCCUUCCUUUUGCAAUGUGUUGUGUGCUGUUCUGUGUGCUAGGGAUACUGAGAUUGUCAGAGAGAAUAGUGUUUGUCUGGUUGUUGAAGUGGAAGUUAAAAUCAAAUUUUAUUUGUCACAUGCAUGGAAUACAACGUGUGUAGACUUACUGCGAAAUGCUUGCUUACGAGCCCUUUCCUACUAUGCUGAGUCAAAAAAAAAAUAUAUAUAUUUAUAUACUAUAAAAUAUAUAGUAACACAAGAGGAAGAAAAAAACAAGAAUGAAGCUAUAUCAUAAAAAUAAUAUUUUGGUGGGUGCUUAUAUUUGUCCUGUCUUACACAUCUACAGGUGUGUAUUAAUACGCAUGUGUGAAUUGGAAAUUCGUUUUUUGCAUAAUCCACUCUCCCGGAGACACCUUCGGAGAGUGGGGUAACAGGGAAUACCAGUAUCAGUACCAUAUCAAUGUGUAGAAGUACAAGGUUUUUGAGGUAGAUAUGUACAUAAAGGCAGCGUAAAGUGACUAGGCAUCGGGAUAGAUAAUAAUAAUAAGAGUGAAAUAAAGAACAGAGCAGCAUAUGUGUGUGUGUGGCGUCAGUAUGCGUGUAUGUGUUGUGCGAAUGUAGUGUAUCUAAAUGUAUGUGGGUUUGUGAGAGAGUCAGUGUAUGUAUAAUAUGUAUAUCAUCCUGUGAGUGAAUAGUAUCAGUGCACGUACACUCCAUAGAAACAUCCCAUAGAAACAUUAAUAUAUUUUUGUCACUAUGGCAUUCCGAAUAGAGUUUAUUUACUUGUAAAGAUUUAGGCCUACUCUGGAUAAGACUAAGCUGUAAUGUGUAAAUGUUCCUAGCUUAAAUAAAAAGUUUGUAAACACCAGUA